rnacentral:pre_miRNA from 1 species
GCUGUAAGUUGCUAACAACAGAGCUGUCGAUUUGCAAACGCUUGGUGUUACUUCUUACAGUGA